UCCGUUAUGGUGUAGUGGCUAACAUUAUCGCCUCUCAGGUGUCUUAUCGCGAUAGCCCAGGGUUCGAUUCCCUGUAACGGAA